CGCUCACACGAGCAUAGCAAUGGCCCCGCGACAACGCGCGAGCGCAGGCACGCUUAUCAGUUUCACCUUCUCAAAGGGCAGGCCAACUUUGCCGUUGCCCCCUUCACCAUGUUCACCUUCAACAUCUUUCAGUCUUCUACACAACAUUUGCUGUCUCUUAUUCUCGUCCUAUCAAGCCACCAUUCUAGUCACUUCCUGCCACGCACGUCUUAUUUUCUCUACUUCCACACACUGCUCAUCUUAGUUUCUCCAACCAACCUAAACACAUCAUCGUCCACUUCUCAAUUUCCCUAUUAUCGCUCAACAGCCUCCAGAACAUUCUCCAUUACUGAUUUCUUCCAUAGGACACACAUCUCACUCGCACUCAUACACACACCCAUUCAUGAGGAUCUUCUGCGCGCACACGCACACACACACCAGCACAAAAGGAUGACGCACAGCAUAUAGAACACACAUCGAUCCCACUAACACACCUUUUUGUUCGUGUUACUUUUCUGAUGUAUUCUCUAUUUCACUUUUAGAAGCUAUUUGUAAUUCUUUUCUAUUUAUUUAGCAAAUUUUAACUUCAAUGUUUCUUUAUCUUACUUUAUCCUUUUAACAUAAAUACCUCCUUAUAUUUAAGCUAAUUUCUCCUUAAUUUUGGCAGCCAGGUUCCCACUUCAUUACAUGGAAACCUGAUCUGAUUUGAUUUUGGCCUAGUCAUAGUGUUUCUGUUAAUUUGUGCAGUCACGUGCCAUGUGAACGUUUUCUCCGCAAUUCCAGCAUUUUAUUGGAGGUUGCACAACUCUUCCUCGGCCUCUAAAGCCUCCUUUAGACAUUGCUCGCCCUCUCUGGCCUUCCUGUCCUCUGCCUGCAUUUUGGUAAAAAGUGUCACUAUCCUGGUCUACCAGAAAAGUGUGUUUUGAAGCUUUCAUUUGUUUUCGUUUUUGUUUGUCUAUUACUACUUUUUCCGCAUGGAGGGCAUGAUUUAUGUAUUCCUCCAAAGUUCCGGUGUUCAUUCCUAUAUGAUUAUUGAUCACCCUAAUUUGUAUUGCAGGCUUGGACCCUACAUGGAUGGCAUUUUUUAAUUAUUGCUGAUAAGCACCUUGAGGCGCAUUAUCUUCCACCAGUCCACUGUGUGUUUUAAACACUUUUGUCAUGCGCACUCGAUACUCAUCAAAGGUUUCAUUAUCAUUUUGCUUUGUUCUGCCUAUUUCUGUAUAAUUUGCUCUGAUUUCCUUUGACCAAUCCAUUUCUAGCGGGCUUUUCUGCCUAGUGGCUCUGUCCGUCAUCCUAUAAGGAGGAGAUGAUUCCUCAAUUUUGUGUGUGUCAUGCAUUUGCGGAUACAACUUCGCAAUGAUGUUUAGUUUUGAAUUUGUAGCAUUUGUGUUUUCUCUUCUUGCUCUUGUACUGCUUCUAGUUCUCCCUCAAAUUUAUAUUUUUUAACCCAUUUAUCGAAAUCUUUUUUUAAUCGGUUGGGAUCCUGCCUUUCAAUUAUUUUCCAAUCUUUGCAUUUUAGUUCAUGUCGGGGUAGGGACUUUCGCUUAUUAAGUUUCCCAUGGUUUAUUUUUCUAAAUUUUGGAGUUGGUAGUUUGAAUGGCACCUACAGUGUCCUAAAACCAACUUUAUUCACAGGACAGUGGUUAAAAAUUCGAUGUGUGGUAAGUCUCCUUUCACCUCCCCCGAAAGAGUUGUUGCCUCUGCACCCACACAAAGCCACCGUUUACAAUCCUGUGUGUUUAUAUAGAGGAGCGCUCAAAUGAGAUCACUCUCAGUCAAACCGUUCACAAGCAUACCACGCGCGUUUUUUAAUAACAGAGGAGUCCGCCCCUCCUGCUGCGGAAUUUAACUAACAUAAAACGUUAGGGUGCUCCACAUCCGCCCCUGCGGAAUUUAACUGUUUCAAAUUGUACUUGAUAAGGUCUAGAAUUCUCAAGGGUUUUUUUUUUAAUAACAGAGGAGUCCGCCCCUCCUGCUGCGGAAUUUAACUAGCUUGAAAGCUAGGGGGCUCCACAUCCGCCCCUGCAGAAUUUAACUGUUUCUAUUUAGUAGAAUUAAUAUUCCUACUCACGGUCUGCUGAUUCUCUUCCUCGGAAGAUCUCGUCAACCCUCCCGGUGUCCAGCCGGACUGAUUGAGACAGUCCCGUCAAAGGGCCUUUGUUUUACCUCGGCCGAGGAUUGUCACCUGCGUCGAAGAGCCCGCUGGAACCGUUCAAGGCGUGUUGAGAUCCCGGAACGAGCCCCCAAUUUCUGUCAGGUUUAUUUCGCUGACUGAAUAAGUGAAUAGAAGAGCAACAGCAAACAAAACCAAGUGAGACAGAAUAUUAAGUCUUUUCUCGCGAGGAGUGCAGUACAGAUAGCUUAAUACAAUCUCUACACACACACUGAAUCUCUGUAGGCACUCCCGCGCUUUUUAUUUGGAUUUGCCCUACCCACAGUGUGAGACAUAAGACACUAAAGGGGAGGAGGAAAGCAUGUGGGCUUUGUCUCGUAAGGAAAAAUCACUAGGUGUUUACAUACUGAUAAGAACAUCUGGGAAGAGGAGUUUGAGUGGACUGGAUACAGGAGAAAAAACCUUUGACCUCUAGUUAAAACAUAGCAAGGGAAGUUUUACGACAUUGUGUAGGAUGCAACAAGCUAAGUUAUUUAUUACUGGUUAUAUACAUUCCAACCUAAUCCUACGAUCAAGAUAGUUGGGAAACCCUGACUUUAAUGGUCACUUGGAGGUUCAUCUGGGGUGCAGGACAGCAAUGAGGCAUGUUGUCUAACAAAGUGGUCUUUGUUAGAAAGGAACUGUCCUUCUGUGGUACAUCAUAAAAACAGCGAGGCCAAACAGCAAGCAUAUAUUGCAGUAAUAUUGCGGUAAGGCAUUGAUUAGAGUACGCAUGAUAACAUAUAUAUACAUUUUUCUAACAAAGUGGCUGGGGAGAGGGAAGUCUGGGAGUCCCUCCCAAAGCUGCUGUCCCCGCGACCUGACCUCGGAUAAGCGGAAGAGGAUGGAUGGACGGAUGGACGGCUGGAUUAACGCAGUGAUUCUCAAUCAUUUUUUGUGAUGCCCCCCCCCCCCUAGGGAGAAGAAACCAUUUUGCGCCCCCCAACGCCCAUGUUAUUAACAUUAAAGGAAACAAAACAUAAAUAAAAAGAAAGAUCAACUUACAAUAAAUAACUUUAUUGAUAACAUUGUUUCUUAGUCUGUAACAGAACAGAUUCAAUGUGCAUCACUUUGCCUGAAAUUAAAAAAUAAAUUAUAAUUAUUUAAACUAUAAACAUUCUUGACCAACUGCCAUUUGAUGCUGAAAAAAAUACAAUAAAAUAAUAAUAAACAUACAAAAUAUUAAUUUAAAUAACAGCAAUAAAUAUUCAAUUCAAAGUAAUCAGCAACAUUACCUCAGGAGCACAAUAUAUAAAACAUUUUAACCUACAAAACAAAAAUAAAUAAAACAAUUUGUGCGUUUUUUUUCAAUCAAAAUGAGGCAGCAUGAUGGAGACCAUAUCCACGGCUGGAGGUAGUAUCAGCUCUUCUGCAAUGGUGUGUUUUUUUUUUUUGCACUGAGCAAUUUGGUACGCUGCUUUAUAUGAAGCUUACAGUGCUUGCUGAUUGACAGAAGUAACAUUCACAAAGUGGGAUGAUUGUUGGCAAUAUUCAGCCCGUUUUCGCUGAAAAACCUCGAGCAUCUUAUCAGCGUGAUUGGAGUGCAAUGACUUUAAGUGCCCCCCUAAUUUAUUUGGCUUCAUACUGUCCGCUGCCAACAUUGUAAGGCACAGUAAACACACCGGUCUUUCCUCGUCUCCCAUCGUAGUCACACUGAAGCCGAGCGCUCGUACGCUUCGUCAUAUGUCCUUGUCUAUAACUCUCAAUUCUCUUAUCUCCGUCUCUCUCCGCCGUUUUCAACUCUUUUAAAUAUUUUUCCAUGUUGUCCCACUGCACUUUUUAUCACCUGCUCUGUGCUGUGUGUGCGUAUGUUCCGUGCACUCUACACUGUAGAGCGAAUACUCCUUGCGCACACUCUUACAGUGAUACCGCCACUCCCACCUACUGCAGUGGAUGUCUAAUUACCCUUUAAUCUAGUACAGCCAAAAGAAAAGCAUGUUCCCUGGUGUCACACGCGGUUGGUAACGCACGGGGGCGCGCCCCACUAUUUGAGAAGGACUGGAUUAACGGAUGGAUGGAUGGAUGGAUGGAUGGAUGGAUGGAUGGAUGGAUGGAUGGAUGGACGGACGGACGGACGGACGGACGGACGGACGGACGGACGGACGGACGGACGGACGGACGGAUGGAUGGAGCCAAUCAUGGUUUUAGGUGGUCAAAAGAAAAUCAAGAGUUGGACGUCAGUGAACAACACGCAACGGAGCUCGUCACCCAGAUGGCCAUUGUGGAAAGGUGGUGCGUAAGCCAGAGGAAGCCAGCAAGACUGAGACCAAUCCCCUGCCAUGUUCACCUGGUGAAGUCAGAUGCUCCCGCACAGUGAUUAGGAAACGUAUUGAGGUUUGGCAUCAACCUUGACGGUGACAAUGGCCUCAUCGCACUUCAC